AACUUUAAAUAGGUAGGAC
rnacentral:snRNA from 1 species